rnacentral:rRNA from 1 species
UACGUAGGGUGCGAGCGUUGUCCGGAAUUAUUGGGCGUAAAGAGCUCGUAGGCGGUCUGUCGCGUCGGAUGUGAAAACCCAGGGCUCAACCCUGGGCCUGCAUUCGAUACGGGCAGACUAGAGUACGGCAGGGGAGACUGGAAUUCCUGGGUGUAGCGGUGAAAUGCGCAGAUAUCAGGAGGAACACCGGUGGCGAAGGCGGGGUCUCUGGGCCGUAACUGACGCUGAGGAGCGAAAGCGUGGGGAGCGAACAGG